UGUUAUGCUGAAAUCAACAGCACCCAUAAAAAAAUUCCUCAUUUUAUUGGACUUCUUCACAAUAUUAUUACUACCCACCAACAUUAUCAAAAACUACCCACGUAAAAAAAACAAAUAAAUAAAACCCAAUUACAAAUGCAUAUAGAAAUGGAGAAAAGUGGGAAAAUAUACCUUCACAUCUUAUUACCUUUGUCGACCUGGUACAUGUCCCAAGAGAAGGUACCUAAAGCAUCAAAAUAAAUGGCGACGGACCUUUGCUUGGAAUCCUCCAAACAAAGCCGCCGGGAGGAGGGGGUCAUCCUAAAGGAUAGACAUGUCCUUCGUGCUGGGCAUUCCAAUUUUGUUCCUUAUCACAACUUCUGACCUCUUUCUUUCUAUUUCUUCUUCUUCUGAUGAACAGAACAUAACAAUAAAUUUGGGAAUCUGUUUCACAAAUUGGUUGAUUUUAUCAAAGAAGAUGAACAGUGAACUCACGCCUUACAGAGAAGUAAUGGAGCGACAAUGCAGAGAAGAAUUGAAGAAGCGAUGUCUAUAUGGGUAAAAAAAAAAUUAUUCAACCGAUUCAGCUAAAUUUUUUUUUAAAAGAGUCGCUCAGAUUUAUUCAGCCAAAUUCAGAAUUUAAAAUAAGUAAACGAACGAUCAAAAUAACUGAAUCACUCAGAUUCAGAGCAGUCUUAUUUAAAUUGAAACAAAU
rnacentral:lncRNA from 1 species